AUGCUUGUCACUACACUUGAGUUGAAUGUCAUUGGUUUUGAGCAUAUCAAAGACUUGUAUGAGCAUGAUCCUACAUUUGCUAUUCCCUAUGCCAAGUGUUUGACGCAUACUUCUUGGAAUCGAUACUACAUCAAAGAGGGAUAUCUUAUGAGAGCUAACAAACUUUGCAUCCCCGAGUCCUCUUUUCGUUUGUUGCUUUUACAGGAAUCUCAUGGAGGCGGACUCAUGGGACACUUUGGACACGACAAGACAUUUGCUAUGCUCUCCAAGAAUUACUUUUGGCCCAAGAUGCACCGUGACGUCAAUCGCUUCACCAACCGAUGUUCUACAUGUCGCAAAGCUAAGUCUAAAGCCCAAUCUCAUGGCCUCUAUAUGCCGCUUCCAAUUCCGUAUCAACCAUGGGAAGAUAUUAGCAUGGACUUUGUGCGUGGUUUGCCUAGAACUAGAAAUGGCAAGGAUUCCGUUUUUGUUGUUGUGGACCGUUUCUCCAAAAUGGCUCAUUUGAUUCCUUGCAACAAGAUAGACGAUGCUUCACAUGUUGCAAAUUUGUUUUGUAGGGAAAUUUUGCGCCUUCAUGGAGUGCCAAAGACAAUUGUCUCGGACCGCGACGUCAAGUUCUUGAGUUACUUUUGGAAGACCUUGUGCACCAAGCUCAGAAUCAAGCUCUUGUUCUCUUCGGCAUACCAUCCACAAACCGAUGGCCAAACGGAGGUGACCAACCGUACGCUCUCCACCCUACUACGUGUGUUGAUAAAGAAGAACAUCAAGGAGUGGGAAGAGUGCCUACCCAUCGCCGAGUAUGCCUACAACCGAGCAAGACACUCAACCACCAGCAAGUCCCCCUUCGAGGUCGUCUAUGGCUUCAACCCAUUGUCCCCAUUGGACAUUCUACCUCUACCGCUUCAAGAGCGCACAAACAUGGACGCGAGUGCCAGAGCAAACUUCCUCAAGAAGAUGCAUGAAGAUACAAGGAACACCAUCGAGCGCCAAGUACAACGACUCGCGACCAAGCUCAACAUCAACAAGCAACACAUGAUGUUCCAUGUUGGAGAUCUUGUGUGGCUACACCUUCGCAAGGAUCGCUUCCCCAAUGAACGCAAGUCCAAGCUACUACCCUGA
rnacentral:rRNA from 1 species